rnacentral:rRNA from 1 species
AAUAUUGGACAAUGGGGGCAACCCUGGUCCAGCCAUGCCGCGUGAGUGAAGAAGGUUUUCGGAUCGUAAAACUCUGUCAUUGGGGAAGAAUAAAUGACGGUACCCAAUGAGGAAGCGCAGGCUAACUACGUGCCAGCAGCCGCGGUAAUACGUAGGGGGCAAGCGUUGUCCGGAAUGACUGGGAGUAAAGGGCGCGUAGGCGGGUUAUAAAGUCAGCUGUGAAAUUCCUAGGCUCAACCUAGGGUGUGCAGUUGAAACUGGUAAGCUUGAGAUCAGUAGAGGAGAGCGGAAUUCCUAGUGUAGCGGUGAAAUGCGUAGAUAUUAGGAGGAACACCAGUGGCGAAGGCGGCUCUCUGGCCUGUUUCUGACGCUGAGGCGCGAAAGCGUGGGGAGCAAACA